rnacentral:ncRNA from 1 species
GCGCCACAACGGCUUCCUGACGUGGCGUGAUUGAACCUAAUGGAGCG